AAAUGAAUUGACGGGGGCCCGCACAAGCGGUGGAGCAUGUGGUUUAAUUCGAUGCAACGCGAAGAACCUUACCUACUCUUGACAUCCAGAGAACUUAGCAGAGAUGCUUUGGUGCCUACGGGAACUCUGAGACAGGUGCUGCAUGGCUGUCGUCAGCUCGUGUUGUGAAAUGUUGGGUUAAGUCCCGCAACGAGCGCAACCCUUAUCCUUUGUUGCCAGCGGUUCGGCCGGGAACUCAAAGGAGACUGCCAGUGAUAAACUGGAGGAAGGUGGGGAUGACGUCAAGUCAUCAUGGCCCUUACGAGUAGGGCUACACACGUGCUACAAUGGCGCAUACAAAGAGAAGCGACCUCGCGAGAGCAAGCGGACCUCACAAAGUGCGUCGUAGUCCGGAUUGGAGUCUGCAACUCGACUCCAUGAAGUCGGAAUCGCUAGUAAUCGUAGAUCAGAAUGCUACGGUGAAUACGUUCCCGGGCCUUGUACACACCGCCCGUCACACCAUGGGAGGGGGUUGCAAAAGAAGUAGGUAGCUUAACCUUCGGGAGGGCGCUUACCACUUUGUGAUUCAUGACUGGGGUG
rnacentral:rRNA from 1 species